rnacentral:tRNA from 1 species
GCCCCCAUCGUCUAGGGGACCAGGACGUGGCCCUUUCAAGGCCAAAACGCCGGUUCGAAUCCGGCUGGGGGCA